rnacentral:tRNA from 1 species
UCCGAGGUAGCUCAGUGGUAGAGCAGGCGGCUGUUAACCGCCCGGUCGGGGGUUCGAAUCCCUCCCUCGGAGCCA